GACGAACGCUGGCGGCGUGCUUAACACAUGCCAGUCGAACGGAAAGGCCCUGCUUUUGUGGGGUGCUCGAGUGGCGAACGGGUGAGUAACACGUGAGUAACCUGCCCUUGACUUUGGGAUAACUUCAGGAAACUGGGGCUAAUACCGGAUAGGAGCUCCUGCUGCAUGGUGGGGGUUGGAAAGUUUCGGCGGUUGGGGAUGGACUCGCGGCUUAUCAGCUUGUUGGUGGGGUAGUGGCUUACCAAGGCUUUGACGGGUAGCCGGCCUGGGAGGGUGACCGGCCACAUUAGGACUGAGAUACGGCCCAGACUCCUACGGGAGGCAGCAGUGGGGAAUAUUGCACAAUAGGCGGAAGCCUGAUGCAGCAACGCCGCGUGCGGGAUGACGGCCUUCGGGUUGUAAACCGCUUUCGCCUGUGACGAAGCGUGAGUGACGGUAAUGGGUAAAGAAGCACCGGCUAACUACGUG
rnacentral:rRNA from 1 species